UACGGGGGGAGCAAGCGUUGUUCGGAUUUACUGGGCGUAAAGGGCGCGUAGGCGGCCAGCACAAGUCAGUUGUGAAAUCUCCGAGCUUAACUCGGAAAGGUCAACUGAUACUGUGCGGCUAGAGUGCGGAAGGGGCAACUGGAAUUCUUGGUGUAGCGGUGAAAUGCGUAGAUAUCAAGAGGAACACCUGCGGCGAAGGCGGGUUGCUGGGCCGACACUGACGCUGAUGCGCGAAGGCGUGGGGAGCGAACGGG
rnacentral:rRNA from 1 species